rnacentral:rRNA from 1 species
GAUGAACGCUGGCGGCGUGCUUAACACAUGCAAGUCGAACGAAGCACCUCUCCCGAAGAUUGACACAGCUUGCUGUAGAUUGAUUCAUUUGAGGUGACUGAGUGGCGGACGGGUGAGUAACGCGUGGGUAACCUGCCUCAUAGAGGGGGACAACAGUUGGAAACGACUGCUAAUACCGCAUAGUAAGAAGAAUUCGCAUGUUUUCUUCUUGAAAGAUGUAUCGCUAUGAGAUGGACCCGCGUCUGAUUAGCUAGUCGGUAAGGUAACGGCUUACCAAGGCGGCGAUGAGUAGCCGGGUGGAGAGAGGGAACGGCCACAUGGGGACGGAGGAACGGCCGAAGCUGCUACGGGAGGCAGCGGUGGGGGAUAUUGCAGAAUGGGGGAAGGCCUGAGGGAGCGACGGGGGGGGAGUGAAGAGGUAUGGCGGUAUGUAAAGCGCUAGCAGCAGGGAAGAUAAGGACGGUACCUGACUAAGAAGCCCCGGCUAACUACGUG